rnacentral:rRNA from 1 species
GAUGAACGCUGGCGGCGUGCCUAAUACAUGCAAGUCGAGCGAACAGACGAGGAGCUUGCUCCUCUGACGUUAGCGGCUGACGGGUGAGUAACACGUGGAUAACCUACCUAUAAGACUGGGAUAACUUCGGGAAACCGGAGCUAAUACCGGAUAAUAUAUUGAACCGCAUGGUUCAAUAGUUAAAGACGGUUUUGCUGUCACUUAUAGAUGGAUCCGCGCCGCAUUAGCUAGUUGGUAAGGUAACGGCUUACCAAGGCAACGAUGCGUAGCCGACCUGAGAGGGUGAUCGGCCACACUGGAACUGAGACACGGUCCAGACUCCUACGGGAGGCAGCAGUAGGGAAUCUUCCGCAAUGGGCGAAAGCUUGACGGAGCAACGACGCGUGAGUGAUGAAGGUCUUCGGAUCGUAAAACUCUGUUAUUAGGGAAGAACAAAUGUGUAAGUAACUAUGCACGUCUUGACGGUACCUAAACAGAAAGCCACGGCUAACUACGUG